GUGCUAGCUUCAGCAGCACACGUACUAAAAUUGGAAGGACACAGAGAAGACUAGCAUGGCCCUUAUGUAAGAAAGACAUAACAAAUUUGGGAAGCAAUGCAUAUUUUG
ensembl:snRNA U6 U6 spliceosomal RNA